CUCACAUUCCUUGGGGUCUGCCUUAAAAAGAAAUAAAAAGGAGACAACAAUACAAUAACUGAACCAAUAAUCAACUAUGUACAACAUUCCGUUCACUGCGCCUCUGCGGGGCAGUGUUAGGUAUAACGGUUUCUCUUGUGGCUCUGAUCUGACAGCCACUUUGGGGGUGGGUAUUAAAAUCAAGAGCAAGGUUUUAACGGUAACAAUUAUUAAAGCAAUUCUCAAGGGGCAAAAUUGUAAUUUUUAAUUCAUUUUAUUUGUUCAAUAUUUUAUUUUUACAGAUUAACUGCAUCCUUUGUUUACAUUAACAUUUCUUCAUUUUAACGUGCAGUCACCUUAAAAUACAAGGACCUCGUACAGUAGGAAACAAGAAAAACUAUUACUCCAAACUUUUACUGUAAAGCCACUGCUAAGACCCUAAGACUCCCCUUUUUGGGGGAUGUAGAAAUGCAAUAAUGGUGGUUACUAUAAAGGAAAAUAAAAUAAAAUGGAUCUAGGGCACAAAAAUAAUUAAUUACAAAUUACUGUCACCAACGUCCCCUUAUUCUGCUUGAGAAAACAAAAAUAGAUAAACAGAUAAUAAAAGAGUUAAUAAAAACUAUGUAUUAAUUUUAAUAUUCUGCUUUCUAUAUGAAAACCGUCUCUCUCGAUGGCUUAUUUACUGUCCUAGUGCAAUCAUCUAUUUUAAUUCAUAUUUGUAUGCACCUAUUCUUCAUUUCUAUCCUUGAGCAUAAACUGGCAUUCUGCACCAGCCACCUUAAGUGCUAACCAAGUACUAUAACCACUACACUAAUAAUAUCUUCGACUCCUCCUAUAGCCAAGUGUUCAUCGUAUCUCAUAGUAAUGGUUAUCAUGGGGUCAGCAGAAAGAGCAGCAGUUUAAUUGGUGCUUGAAAACAACUUGACAAAAAACAGAGGGGCUUUAGUCAUAUAGCCCAGGCAACAUAACUACUACAAAAAAAACUUAAAAGGGCUGCCUAUAGGGCUCUGGUGGCGGUUUGACUAAAGGAUAUUGGCAUCUCCAUCCAGGAGGUCAUUCUAAAAGGUAGUGGAUAAUUUUCUCAUGGAUAAAUUAACUGUGAUAGUUUCUAAUACCUUCUUUUGCUUCUGACAAGCAUGGGGUCCAUGGCUGGGUUGCAUCCCAAUGGUGUUCACCUCCACCUUGUCUUACCCUUCUCAUUUUCUCUUACGUAUUUUUUUUUAUUUUUUUUUCACUGACUGUAAUUUAAAUUGAGAGGUGCCAUGCUCUUAUCGAUGUGCUUUAUCCGUGCUCUAUGUCUCCUAAAAUUAUUUAAGAACAAAAAAACUGUAGAGGGUAUAGUGUUUGGAAUGUCCUUUCAGGAUUAUUACCAGAGAAGGACUGAGAGAAGGCUAAUAAAGUUAGAUAUAGUCUAAAUAAAUGUAUUUAGGGAGAAAUAUACAAGUGUUGUAUUUCUGAGAAAAAGUUCCAAAGAUGUGAAAUCACCAAGAACAUUCCAUCAGAUUCUAUUGCAGUUGCUCCACUUUUAGAAAUUGCCUCCGUAAUCUCAUCCUGUGACUGUAUAAUUUCCUUAUUGAACAUUCAGAUCACUCCAGACCAAAUAUAAUAAUAUACACAUUCUUUCUGGCAGUCAUUAGUGAUGUCCCGAACUGUUCGCCGAACAGUUUGCCGCAAACGGUUUGCCGCGGACUCAUCAUUGAGUAAACUUUGACCCUGUACCUCACAGUCAGCAGACACAUUCCAGCCAA